rnacentral:rRNA from 1 species
AUUGAACGCUGGCGGCAUGCCUUACACAUGCCAGUCGAACGGCAGCACGGGUGCUUGCACCUGGUGGCGAGUGGCGAACGGGUGAGUAAUACAUCGGAACAUGUCCUGUAGUGGGGGAUAGCCCGGCGAAAGCCGGAUUAAUACCGCAUACGAUCUACGGAUGAAAGCGGGGGACCUUCGGGCCUCGCGCUAUAUGGUUGGCCGAUGGCUGAUUAGCUAGUUGGUGGGGUAAAGGCCUACCAAGGCGACGAUCAGUAGCUGGUCUGAGAGGACGACCAGCCACACUGGGACUGAGACACGGCCCAGACUCCUACGGGAGGCAGCAGUGGGGAAUUUUGGACAAUGGGCGAAAGCCUGAUCCAGCAAUGCCGCGUGUGUGAAGAAGGCCUUCGGGUUGUAAAGCACUUUUGUCCGGAAAGAAAUCCUUGGCCCUAAUACGGUCGGGGGAUGACGGUACCGGAAGAAUAAGCACCGGCUAACUACGUG